GAUUUUUCGAGAAACUAGCGGGAGGCGUAAGGAAACUAGCAACGCGAGACUUGCAGACUUGCAGCUUCAGAUUGAGAUCAUUGGGGGCCGUUUGGCCGGUGUUCUAGACUUUUCAAGGUUGAGGAACUUGGCAUUGACGAGAUACUGUUGCUGAGGACGAGGCUAGUGGCUAACGAGUUCGUUGAGUGGAUUCUAUUACUGAG